rnacentral:rRNA from 1 species
GAUGAACGCUGGCGGCGUGCCUAAUACAUGCAAGUCGAGCGAACAGACGAGGAGCUUGCUCCUUUGAUGUUAGCGGCGGACGGGUGAGUAACACGUAGGUAACCUACCUAUAAGACUGGGAUAACUUCGGGAAACCGGAGCUAAUACCGGAUAAUAUUUCGAACCGCAUGGUUCGAUAGUGAAAGAUGGCUUUGCUGUCACUUAUAGAUGGACCUGCGCCGUAUUAGCUAGUUGGUAAGGUAACGGCUUACCAAGGCAACGAUACGUAGCCGACCUGAGAGGGUGAUCGGCCACACUGGAACUGAGACACGGUCCAGACUCCUACGGGAGGCAGCAGUAGGGAAUCUUCCGCAAUGGGCGAAAGCCUGACGGAGCAACGCCGCGUGAGUGAUGAAGGUCUUCGGAUCGUAAAACUCUGUUAUUAGGGAAGAACAAACGUGUAAGUAACUGUGCACGUCUUGACGGUACCUAAUCAGAAAGCCACGGCUAACUACGUG